UGAGUCACAUCGCAGAGGAUGUGGGGCGCAUCGUCAAGAAGAGUAAGGAUCUGGAGCAACAGCUGCAGGAGGAGCUGCUGGAGGUGGUGUCGGAGCUUCAGACGGCCAAGAAGACGUACCACGUGUACCACAUGGA